UAUUUCCUUUCAGAAAAGAGUGGGCC
rnacentral:piRNA from 1 species